UGCAGAGAUCUACUUCAAAGGGGGUG
rnacentral:piRNA from 1 species